AACGAACGCUGGCGGCGUGCCUAACACAUGCAAGUCGAACGAGAAAGUUUCCUUCGGGGAAUGAGUAAAGUGGCGCAAGGGUGAGUAACACGUGAAUAAUCUGCCUUCGAGACUGGGAUAACUUGAUGAAAGUUAAGCUAAUACCGGAUAAGACCACGCUUCACAAGGAGUGCGGCAAAAGGGGUCUCAAACCCUGCUUGAAGAUGAGUUCGCGUACCAUUAGCUUGUUGGUGAGAUAACAGCUCACCAAGGCGACGAUGGUUAGCCGGCCUGAGAGGGUGAUCGGCCACACUGGAACUGAGACACGGUCCAGACUCCUACGGGAGGCAGCAGUGGGGAAUCUUGCGCAAUGGGCGAAAGCCUGACGCAGCAACGCCGCGUGAGCGAUGAAGGCCUUCGGGUCGUAAAGCUCUGUCAAGUGGGAAGAACACAAUGACGGUACCACUAGAGGAAGCCCCGGCUAACUUCGUGCCAGCAGCCGCGGUAAUACGAAGGGGGCAAGCGUUGUUCGGAAUUAUUGGGCGUAAAGCGUAUGUAGGUGGUCUUUCAAGUCAGACGUGUAAGCCCUCGGCUCAACCGAGGAAUUGCGUUUGAAACUGAUUGACUUGAGUGUAGGAGAGGAAAGCGGAAUUCCCAGUGUAGCGGUGAAAUGCGUUGAUAUUGGGAAGAACACCGGUGGCGAAGGCGGCUUUCUGGCCUAUUACUGACACUGAGAUACGAAAGCGUGGGGAGCAAACAGGAUUAGAUACCCUGGUAGUCCACGCCGUAAACGAUGUCAACUAGCCGUUGGGGAGCUUGCCUCCUUUAGUGGCGCAGCUAACGCAAUAAGUAGACCGCCUGGGGAGUACGGUCGCAAGAUUAAAACUCAAAUGAAUUGACGGGGGCCCGCACAAGCGGUGGAGCAUGUGGUUUAAUUCGAUGCAACGCGAAGAACCUUACCAGGUCUUGACAUCCUGCGAACUUACUAGAGAUAGUUUGGUGCCUUCGGGAGCGCAGUGACAGGUGCUGCAUGGCUGUCGUCAGCUCGUGUUGUGAAAUGUUGGGUUAAGUCCCGUAACGAGCGCAACCCUUGUCCUUAUUUGCCAGCUUAAUGGUGGGAACUUUAAGGAGACUGCCGGUGACAAACCGGAGGAAGGUGGGGACGACGUCAAGUCAUCAUGGCCCUUACGACCUGGGCUACACACGUGCUACAAUGGCCGGUACAGAGGGUUGCUAAGCCGCGAGGUGGAGCCAAUCCCAGAAAGCCGGUCGUAGUUCGGAUUGGAGUCUGCAACUCGACUCCAUGAAGCCGGAAUCGCUAGUAAUCGCGAAUCAGAAUGUCGCGGUGAAUACGUUCCCGGGCCUUGUACACACCGCCCGUCACACCAUGGGAGUGGGUUGCAAAAGAAGUGGGUAGACUAACCUUCGGGGGGUCGCUCACCACUUUGUGAUUCAUGACUGGGGUG
rnacentral:rRNA from 1 species